UACGGAGGGUGCAAGCGUUAUCCGGAUUCACUGGGGUUAAAGGGUGCGUAGGCGGGUAAGUAAGUCAGUGGUGAAAUCUCCGGGCUUAACUCGGAAACUGCCGUUGAUACUAUUUAUCUUGAAUAUCAUGGAGGUAAGCGGAAUAUGUCAUGUAGCGGUGAAAUGCUUAGAUAUGACAUAGAACACCGAUAGCGAAGGCAGCUUACUACAUGUUAAUUGACGCUGAGGCACGAAAGCGUGGGGAGCAAACAGG
rnacentral:rRNA from 1 species